AAAUUGAAGAGUUUGAUCAUGGCUCAGAUUGAACGCUGGCGGCAGGCCUAACACAUGCAAGUCGAACGGUAACAGGAAGCAGCUUGCUGCUUCGCUGACGAGUGGCGGACGGGUGAGUAAUGUCUGGGAAGCUGCCUGAUGGAGGGGGAUAACUACUGGAAACGGUAGCUAAUACCGCAUAAUGUCGCAAGACCAAAGAGGGGGACCUUCGGGCCUCUUGCCAUCGGAUGUGCCCAGAUGGGAUUAGCUUGU
rnacentral:rRNA from 1 species